UUACGGUCAUAUCACGUUGAAACACUGCUUCUCAUACAAUCACUGAAGUUAAGCAACGUCGUGUCUGGUCAGUAUUUAGAUGGGCGGACGUUUGGAAAUACCAAGUGCUGUAA